UAAAAAAUAGAGUUAUGUAGAUUCUUCGAUCAGGAAAGUUGAGAUAAGCUUUUAAGACUUUGGUAAAGAUUCUACAGAUGGAACAACACGAGAUUGAAUCGUUUCUUAAAGACAGGAAGGAUCUUGAAGAUAAGUCAAAUCUCAACACAAGAACUGGAUAUAUGAUGUUCGUAACUACGAGAAACAACUUUCACGCUCCGGUUAAGUGGUUGGUCUUCUUUGAAACUUCUAAAUGCAAUCUAUUUUCUGCACUAAAGGAAAGGGAUCGUUCUCUUUGCAAUUUGGGACUAGGGGAUUGUAGAAACAAAUGAUUUCUUCACUCUGAAUACAAAAAAAAAAUGGCAACAGGGAUGAUAAAUCAUUGGUAGCAGAGAUGAGAAAACUGAAGCUUGCUUCUGAAAUGAAAUGAGAGGUUUUUGAUCUCUUACAAGAGAGUGGGUUUAUUUGCAGUCAGUUCAAAUGUAUCAAGUGGAUUCGCUGAUAAGUUGAAGAAGAAAGAUGAUGAGAUUGCUCAAGCUUGAAGAAGAAAGAUGAUGAGCUCCUCUGAAUGUUUUUUUGAUAAGUUUCCUCUGUGAAUGUUGGAGAUGUAAACAUAUAUGUGACAAAUGUAUUCUCAUGUGGCUAUUA